UGGAUCCAGACUUUGAUCCUGGCUCAGGACGAACGCUGGCGGCGUGCUUAACACAUGCAAGUCGAACGGGGUGUUUAUUUCGGUAAACACCAAGUGGCGAACGGGUGAGUAACGCGUAAGCAAUCUACCUUCAAGAUGGGGACAACACUUCGAAAGGGGUGCUAAUACCGAAUGAAUGUAAGAGUAUCGCAUGAGACACUUACUAAAGGAGGCCUCUGACAUAAGCUUCCGCUUGAAGAUGAGCUUGCGUCUGAUUAGCUAGUUGGUGAGGGUAAAGGCCCACCAAGGCGACGAUCAGUAGCCGGUCUGAGAGGAUGAACGGCCACAUUGGGACUGAGACACGGCCCAGACUCCUACGGGAGGCAGCAGUAGGGAAUCUUCCGCAAUGGGCGAAAGCCUGACGGAGCAACGCCGCGUGAACGAUGAAGGUCUUAGGAUCGUAAAGUUCUGUUGUUAGGGACGAAGGGUAAGGAUCAUAAUAAGGUUUUUAUUUGACGGUACCUAACGAGGAAGCCACGGCUAACUACGUGCCAGCAGCCGCGGUAAUACGUAGGCGGCAAGCGUUGUCCGGAAUUAUUGGGCGUAAAGGGAGCGCAGGCGGGAAACUAAGCGGAUCUUAAAAGUGCGGGGCUCAACCCCGUGAUGGGGUCCGAACUGGUUUUCUUGAGUGCAGGAGAGGAAAGCGGAAUUCCCAGUGUAGCGGUGAAAUGCGUAGAUAUUGGGAAGAACACCAGUGGCGAAGGCGGCUUUCUGGACUGUAACUGACGCUGUGGCUCGAAAGCUAGGGUAGCGAACGGGAUUAGAUACCCCGGUAGUCCUAGCCGUAAACGAUGGAUACUAGGUGUGGGAGGUAUCGACUCCUUCCGUGCCGGAGUUAACGCAAUACGUAUCCCGCCUGGGGAGUACGGCCGCAAGGUUGCAACUCAAAGGAAUUGACGGA
rnacentral:rRNA from 1 species